AGUUACUGCCACCCUCUCCCAGGUCUAGAGAGGGGUACCCACGGUGGAGGGAGGUGGGAGGCCGAGACGGCCCCGGGGGUCGGCGGAGACCCAGCGGGAGCAGGGGGAAAUCGGAAGAGCUGGGGGCAUGGAGCGGGCGAGUUUGGAGCGGAAUGAGCCGGGAGCCCUACGUUGUGGAAGGAAGACAACAGUAUAGGACCAUCAGCAGGACCGGACAGAGAGGGGCACGGUUUCUCUGUAUAGCCCUGGCUGUCCUGGAACUUGUAGACCAGGCUGGCCUUGAACUCAGAAAUCCGCCUGCCUCUGACUCCCGAGUGCUGAGAUUAAAGGUGUGCACCACCACACCCGACAAGGAAGCCUGUUUUAAGAAGUGAUUCCAUGGAGGAGUUCUGCGGCGGCUCAGGGCUUGACUAAACAGUGGACCUCAGGGUCCCAUUUCUCUCAGUAGACAAGAGAGGCUAAACCAGGCUGCAGGUGACAGGAAGAAUUGAAUAAACUGAAAGCAAAGGGCAGCCUUCUAAUUACGCUUCGUGGCUAUGUGGACAACCUGGAGAAGUCUGGAAACAAGCCAGAAGCCCGAAGCCAGCAGUAGAGCUCUGACUGGCUUGUAUGCCUAGAAAGGAAGGGCUCUUCUUUCGCCUCACGGGCACAAAUGGGACCCACGAGCGCCGAUUUCAGACUAUUCUGAUCCCUUCAAAAAGAAAGUUAGGAGUCCAGGCUACUUCACUUUGGUGAUAGUAAUCAAACCCUAAUCACGGUGCAGCCACAAGUCACAGAGACCGAAAUAGCAGACUUAUGACAGACAAGGAUGGAGACAGCUAAGGAACUGGCUAUUAAUCACCAGUCCCUCUGCUCACAGCCCAUUGGACCCGAGGGUGAAGGAUGAGGAGGAUGGAAGAAAAUGGGAGUGGCGCUUGCUGCAAAGGGUCUCGAAGGGUCUCAGCACCUGCGAACUGGCUCCAAUCCAAACUCCACUAUUCAUGGUCAAGUUCACAUAGGGCUUGGGGUUCUAACAAGAUGUGACUAAACUUACGUUUUCUAUCUUAUUGAUUGUUGUUGAUGCACGUCUGGUGGUACAUGCUUGAAGAACACAGACACCCUGAGAAGAAAGACAUAGCUCCCCAGAUUCCAGCACGCACUUCUCUGUGAGCUACCACUGUAGCUGAAGAUACAGGGCUCAGGAGGAACACUUGGCCUUCGCUCUGAACUUCAGGCCCACGUAACCAUCAGCCGACAUGACACUGCAAAGGCACCUUAGCUCUGCUGUCCCAGAUGGCCAAGCCAACCUUAUUCCAGAAGCUACUUCUCCUGAUGUAAGAACCAGACACAAAGGACAACCUCUGCCUCACCCUCCUUCACACAACACUGAGUCUGUCAUCUUUGAAGCAUUUCUCAAGCCAUGUUUAUUCCCCUGGCCUACGUGGAACACAGCCAGGGUACGGAACACAACCUCAGCACCGGUCUGCUUUCCUCUCCCCAUUUCUGGUCUUUCUCAGAUGCCCAGAGCUCCUCUGUCCCAAUGACUGCUUAUCAAAGAUCUCACUGUGUCCCCACCCAAGGGGUCUUUGGCCACCCUGUGAAGUCCUAGUGGCCUGGAGUUUGCCCCCUUUCCCAGACACCUUAGGGUUCCUGCUGCAGCUCCAGAACUGGGGGAGCAGGGUUGGGGGUGAGUGUGUGUGUGUGUGUGUGUGUGUGUGUGUGUGUGUGUGUUGACUCACCCUGCAGUAUUCUCUCCAUCUGCACAGGUCCCCAGUCUCUGAGACUGAAUCACCCCUCUUUCACUAUGCCUCUGCACAGCUGCCCUUGUGCUCCCUCUCCUUGCCCCGCCUCUUUUUAAGACAGUAUUAUGCAGCCCUGGCUGUCCUGGAACUUAUGUAAACCAGCCUGGCCUUGAACUUGCAGAGAUCCACCUGCCUUUGCCUCUGCCCCUGCCCCUGCCCCUGCCCCUGCCCCUGCCCCUGCCCCUGCCUUUCUGCCUCUGCCUCUGCCUCUCUGCCUUUCUGCCUCUGCCUCUCUGCCUCUGCCUCUCUGCCUCUGCCUCUCAAGUGUCAGGGAUUAAUGCCUGCCACCUCCCCAGUCCCACCCCUCUCCAUCUACCAUGUGGGUUCCACGGGGCAAACCCAAGUCAUCAGGCUUGUUGGCCAGUGCCUUUAUCCACUGAGCCAAGCCGCUUGGUGUGUCUUUGAUGGUGAUUAUUUACAGGAGCUAUUCAGCAAGGUUAAAUGCUGGCAACCCAAUGAGGGGGUCUCUUGAUCCAAAACUGAGAAGUUGAGGCACUAUUUCAGAAUGACCAAAGACAGUAGAAGAAUCUAGAUAUGUCGAUGAUGAGAACAAUGAUAACUCCAAAAGCUGAGGGAAAUUAACUCAAAAUCUUCCAGCUUCCUUUUCCUUACCUAGUUUGGCGGACUCCAACUCUUGGGAUAGCUUUUUUUCUGGCCCCAAACUCACCUGAUUCGUCUGUCCACUGCCACACUGAAGAAUGAACAGCUGUCUCAGAGAGCUUGGCUCCAGAGCUCUGCAAAAAGAGGACACCUUGCCUUGAGCUGUGUUUCCAGAAUGUAUUGCAGCCCCCAGAGUCAUGUACUGUGACCAGGUGAGGACAUGCAUCUUCUGUUCUCCUGCACCCAGGGCCCCAGCAACCAAGGAUCUGGGGACAUGGCGGGUGUUUGGCAGGUUCGCACUCUGAAAAUAUUUGAUGAGACUCAGUAUAUGCUAAAUAAACACUGGAUCAAG
rnacentral:lncRNA from 1 species